CCCAAGUAUGUUGACCGCAACGAUUGAGUCAGUCGUGUUCUUUGGAUUCAGCUAGUUCUUCUAGUCUACUUCCAUUGAACGGGUCAACAUCAGUUUUGUCCGGUGGAUAAAGAUAGUAGGAAUGUAGCUCCCCCGGGAGUGUUAUAGACUAUUAUUGCAUACACUGGGUGAGACUGAGGACUGCAGCUCGCCUUUUGGCCGGUCUUCGGGCACGUUCGAGCUU
rnacentral:rRNA from 1 species